GAUGAACGCUGGCGGCGCGCCUAACACAUGCAAGUCGAACGAUUAAAGCACCUUCGGGUGUGUAUAAAGUGGCGAACGGCUGAGUAACACGUGGGCAACCUGCCCCUUUCAUUGGGAUAGCCACGGGAAACCGUGGAUAAUACCCAAUACUUCGAGACUUCCGCGUGGAAGACUCGAGAAAGCUCCGGCGGAGAGGGAUGGGCCCGCGGCCUGUUAGCUUGUUGGUGGGGUAACGGCCUACCAAGGCAAUGAUGGGUAGCUGGGUUGAGAGACCGACCAGCCAGAUUGGGACUGAGACACGGCCCAGACUCCUACGGGAGGCAGCAGUGGGGAAUCUUGCACAAUGGGCGAAAGCCUGAUGCAGCGACGCCGCGUGCGGGAUGAAGGCCUUCGGGUUGUAAACCGCUUUCAGCAGGGACGAGGCGAAAGUGACGGUACCUGCAGAAGAAGCCCCGGCUAACUACGUG
rnacentral:rRNA from 1 species